UUUUUUUUUUUUUUUUUUCUUCCUCUUCUACUUGUGACAGGACUUUUUUCUUAUGUCAUAAUUAGUAUUGCUGCCAUUGCUGUUACUAAUGCUAAGCAAUCACACACCAAUGGGUUAAGGAAUAACCAAAUUUUAGCAUGAAAAUCUAUUUCCUGAAUUUUGUAUAGCUUUAAUAUAUUGAUGCUUUCUGGAGAGAAUUUGAUUAUCUUCUUGCAAUAGGUUCUUCAGGAGACUACGUUGAGGAAA
rnacentral:misc_RNA from 1 species